rnacentral:pre_miRNA from 12 species
ACUGAGCGGGGAUCGAAGAAGGGAUUUUGGUUUGUGACCGCCAUAAUGGGCAUUUCUUACAAUUCACUACAAUGCUCGUUAUCACGUUCGCAAUUCCGACGCCCUUCUAUGACGUCAUCUUCAGCU